UCUUCUCUUCCUUCUCUCCCGGUCUCCUUCUUGGACCUCACUUUAUACAGUGAAACUUGAGUCCUGCUUAGCUAGACCUUAACCAAUCAUUAUCCUAAAAUUUUACUAACCAAGCCUAACAUAGUGUAACAAAAUUCUUUAAGCUAUCCUACCCCACCACCUUCAUUAA